rnacentral:rRNA from 1 species
UAGGGAAUCUUCCGCAAUGGGCGAAAGCCUGACGGAGCAACGCCGCGUGAGUGAUGAAGGUUUUCGGAUCGUAAAGCUCUGUUGCCAAGGAAGAACGUCUUCUAGAGUAACUGCUAGGAGAGUGACGGUACUUGAGAAGAAAGCCCCGGCUAACUACGUGCCAGCAGCCGCGGUAAUACGUAGGGGGCAAGCGUUGUCCGGAAUUAUUGGGCGUAAAGCGCGCGCAGGCGGUUCUUUAAGUCUGGUGUUUAAACCCGAGGCUCAACUUCGGGUCGCACUGGAAACUGGGGGACUUGAGUGCAGAAGAGGAGAGUGGAAUUCCACGUGUAGCGGUGAAAUGCGUAGAUAUGUGGAGGAACACCAGUGGCGAAGGCGACUCUCUGGGCUGUAACUGACGCUG